GACGAACGCUGGCGGCGUGCUUAACACAUGCAAGUCGAACGGAAAGGCCCUGCUUUUGUGGGGUGCUCGAGUGGCGAACGGGUGAGUAACACGUGAGUAACCUGCCCUUGACUUUGGGAUAACUUCAGGAAACUGGGGCUAAUACCGGAUAGGAGCUCCUGCUGCAUGGUGGGGGUUGGAAAGUUUCGGCGGUUGGGGAUGGACUCGCGGCUUAUCAGCUUGUUGGUGGGGUAGUGGCUUACCAAGGCUUUGACGGGUAGCCGGCCUGAGAGGGUGACCGGCCAAAUUGGGACGGAGAUACGGCCCAGACUCCGACGGGAGGAAGCAGGGGGGAAUAUUGAACAAGGGGCGGAAGCCGGAUGCAGAAACGCCGGGGGGGGGAUGACGGCCUUGGGGUUGUAAACCGCUUUCGCCUGGGACGAAGCGUGAGUGACGGUAAGGGGUAAAGAAGCACCGGAUAACUACGU
rnacentral:rRNA from 1 species